GAUCCUGGCUCAGGACGAACGCUGGCGGCGUGCUUAACACAUGCAAGUCAGGGGCAUCACAGUGUAGCAAUACACGGGUGGCGACCGGCGCACGGGUGCGUAACACGUAUCCAAUCUGCCCGUUACUCGGGGAUAGCCUUCUGAAAGGAAGAUUAAUACCCGAUGGCAUGUAUUUCCGGCAUCGGAGAUACAUUAAAGAUUUAUCGGUAACGGAUGAGGAUGCGUACGAUUAGCUAGUUGGCGGGGUAACGGCCCACCAAGGCUACGAUCGUUAGGGGUUCUGAGAGGAAGGUCCCCCACACUGGUACUGAGACACGGACCAGACUCCUACGGGAGGCAGCAGUGAGGAAUAUUGGUCAAUGGUCGAGAGACUGAACCAGCCAAGUCGCGUGAGGGAAGACUGCCCUAUGGGUUGUAAACCUCUUUAGUCGGGGAGCAAAAAAGCGGACGUGUCCGCCAUUGAGCGUACCCGAAGAAUAAGCAUCGGCUAACUCCGUG
rnacentral:rRNA from 1 species